rnacentral:rRNA from 1 species
UACGAAGGGUGCUAGCGUUGUUCGGAAUCACUGGGCGUAAAGCGCGCGUAGGCGGUUAAUCAAGUCAGGGGUGAAAUCCUGGGGCUCAACCUCAGAAUUGCCUUUGAAACUGGUUGACUGGAGUAUUGGAGGGGAGUGUGGAAUUCCUAAUGUAGCAGUGAAAUGCGUAGAUAUUAGGAGGAACACCGGUGGCGAAGGCGGGUCUCUGGACAGUUCCUGACGCUGAGGCACGAAGGUCAGGGGAGCAAACGGG